rnacentral:rRNA from 1 species
GAUGAACGCUGGCGGCGUGCCUAAUACAUGCAAGUCGAGCGAACAGACGAUGCUCUUGCUCCUCUCACGUUAGCGGCGGACGGGUGAGUAACACGUGUAUACCCUCCCUAUCAGACUGUGAUAACUUCGGGACACCGGAGCAUAUACCGGAUAAUCUAUUGCACCGCAUGGUGCAAUAGUAAAAGACGGCUUUUCUGUCAGUUAUCGAUGCAUCCGGGCUGCAUUAGAUAGUUGGUAAUGUAACGGCGUACUAAGGCAACGAUGCGUAGCCGAACUGAGAGGGUGAUCGGCCACAAUAGAACGGAGACACGGUAAAGACGCCUAAGGGAGGCACAAGUAGGGAAUCUGAGGCAAUGGGCGAAAGCAUGACGGAGCAAGGCGAAGUGAGUGAUGAAGAUCUUCGGAUCGUAAAACUCUGUUAUGAGGGAAAAACAAAUGUGUAAGUAACUAUGGAGGUCUUGACGGUAAAUAAUCAAGAAGCAACGGCUAACUACGUG